rnacentral:rRNA from 1 species
AUUGAACGCUGGCGGCAGGCUUAACACAUGCAAGUCGAACGAGUGGCGGACGGGUGAGUAAUGCUUGGGAAUCUAGCUUAUGGAGGGGGAUAACUACGGGAAACUGUAGCUAAUAACGCGUACCAUAGGAUGAGCCCAAGUGGGAUUAGGUAGUGGGUGGGGUAAAGGCUCACCAAGCCGACGAUCUCUAGAUGGUCUGAGAGUAUGCCCAGCCACACUGGAAGUGAGACACGGCCCAGCCUCCGACGGGAGGCAGCAGUGGGGAAUAUUGCGCAAUGGGGGCAACCUGACGCAGCCAUGCCGCGUGAGUGAAGAAGGCCUUCGGGUUGGAAAGUUCUUUCGGUAGGGAGGCUUUACCUACAGAAGAAGCACCGGCUAACUCCGUGCCAGCAGCCGCGGUAAUUC